rnacentral:rRNA from 1 species
UACGUAGGGGGCAAGCGUUGUCCGGAUUUAUUGGGCGUAAAGAGCGUGUAGGCGGCCAUACAGGUCAGCUGUGAAAACUCGAGGCUCAACCUCGAGACGUCGGUUGAAACCGUAUGGCUAGAGUCCGGAAGAGGAGAGGUGGAAUUCCCGGUGUAGCGGUGAAAUGCGCAGAUAUCGGGAAGAACACCCGUGGCGAAGGCGGCUCUCUGGGACGGUACUGACGCUGAGACGCGAAAGCGUGGGGAGCGAACAGG